GACGAACGCUGGCGGCGUGCUUAACACAUGCAAGUCGAACGGAAAGGCCCUGCUUUUGUGGGGUGCUCGAGUGGCGAACGGGUGAGUAACACGUGAGUAACCUGCCCUUGACUUUGGGAUAACUUCAGGAAACUGGGGCUAAUACCGGAUAGGAGCUCCUGCUGCAUGGUGGGGGUUGGAAAGUUUCGGCGGUUGGGGAUGGACUCGCGGCUUAUCAGCUUGUUGGUGGGGGAGUGGCUUACCAAGGCUUUGACGGGUAGCCGGCCUAAGAGGGUGACCGGCCACAUUGGGACUGAGAUACGGCCCAGACUCCUACGGGAGGCAGCAGUGGGGAAUAUUGCACAAUGGGCGGAAGCCUGAUGCAGCAACGCCGCGUGCGGGAUGACGGCCUUCGGGUUGUAAACCGCUUUCGCCUGUGACGAAGCGUGAGUGACGGUAAUGGGUAAAGAAGCACCGGCUAACUACGUG
rnacentral:rRNA from 1 species